GAUGAACGCUAGCGGCAGGCUUAAUACAUGCAAGUCAAGGGGUCAGCAAUGACACCGGCGGACGGGUGAGUAACGCGUACACAACGUACCUUUAACUGGGGGAUAGCAUUUGGAAACGAGUGGUAAUACCGCAUGUGGUUGUAGGGAGGCAUCUUUUUGCAACUAAAACUCAGGUGGUUAAAGAUCGGUGUGCGUCCGAUUAGCUUGUUGGUGAGGUAAUGGCUCACCAAGGCGACGAUCGGUAGGGGCGUGAGAGCGUGAACCCCCACACGGGUACUGAGACACGGACCCGACUCCUACGGGAGGCAGCAGUAAGGAAUAUUGGUCAAUGGAGGCAACUCUGAACCAGCCAUGCCGCGUGAAGGAAGAAGGCGCUAUGCGUUGUAAACUUCUUUUGGGUGGGAAAGAAAAAUGGGUCAAAUUUUAUUGGCAACUGACGGUACCAUCAGGAUAAGCACCGGCUAACUCCGUGCCAGCAGCCGCGGUAAU
rnacentral:rRNA from 1 species